rnacentral:rRNA from 1 species
AACGAACGCUGGCGGCAUGCCUAACACAUGCAAGUCGAACGAGACCUUCGGGUCUAGUGGCGCACGGGUGCGUAACGCGUGGGAACCUGCCCUUAGGUUCGGAAUAACUCCCCGAAAGGGGUGCUAAUACCGGAUAAUGUUUUCGGACCAAAGAUUUAUCGCCUUUGGAUGGGCCCGCGUUGGAUUAGCUAGUUGGUAGGGUAAAAGCCUACCAAGGCGACGAUCCAUAGCUGGUCUGAGAGGAUGAUCAGCCACACUGGGACUGAGACACGGCCCAGACUCCUACGGGAGGCAGCAGUGGGGAAUAUUGGAAAAUGGGCGAAAGCCUGAUCCAGCAAUGCCGCGUGAGUGAUGAAGGCCUUAGGGUUGUAAAGCUCUUUUACCCGGGAUGAUAAUGACAGUACCGGGAGAAUAAGCUCCGGCUAACUCCGUG